rnacentral:lncRNA from 1 species
AAUCAAUAGCUCAAACACAUCAAAGCGAAUGGAUAUCAACUGUCAUAUUCCUGACUUGGUACAUGUACAGGCAUUUUCUUAUGUUUUAUAGCUAGCUUAACCUCUCACUUGUAUGAACAAAACAAAUAAACAUAAUAGGUAAAAAUGUCAAAAAAUUGGGAUACAGUAGUCAACAUUGUGUUAUAAUCUUUAUCACUAAAAAAAACAAAUGUGUAACAAAGAAGCACAAAAUGGCAUGCAGACAUGACAGAUCAUGCACAUUUAAUAGCAGAAAUUAAAGAAAAAAAUACACAAAUUUAAAUACAAUAUUACACACAAUGACAAGAUGUAUAAGUACAGAGCCACGUCAUAUACGAAUUAAAAAAAACUAACAAGGCAUAUGGACAAAUCACAUAGCAAAAAUGACAGACAAGCAUACAGACAUGUUUUACAAUUGCACAAUAACUGGAUGUAGAUUACAGAGCCACGCCUAUAUGUAUCGAAGUAAACAAAAAGGCUACAGACAAAGCACACAAGCAAAAACGAAAGACAAGAAUAUGAGAAUAUCAUAAAUAAUGAUAUACAUGAUAUAAUGGCAUGUACAAGUACCACAAAUACCUUAAUCACAAGCAAAAACAAACAAAUAUUUAACAAAGAAGCACAAAAAGGCGUU